AUUGAACGCUGGCGGCAGGCUUAACACAUGCAAGUCGAGCGGGGGAAGGUAGCUUGCUACCGGACCUAGCGGCGGACGGGUGAGUAAUGCUUAGGAAUCUGCCUAUUAGUGGGGGACAACAUCUCGAAAGGGAUGCUAAUACCUCAUACGUCCUACGGGAGAAAGCAGGGGAUCUUCGGACCUUGCGCUAAUAGAUGAGCCUAAGUCGGAUUAGCUAGUUGGGGGGGUAAAGGCCUACCAAGGCGACGAUCUGUAGCGGGUCUGAGAGGAUGAUCCGCCAAACUGGGACUGGAACACGGCCCAGACUCCGACGGGAGGCAGCAGUGGGGAAUAUUGGACAAUGGGGGAAACCCUGAUCCAGGCAUGCCGCGUGUGUGAAGAAGGCCUUAUGGAUGUAAAGCACUUUAAGCGAGGAGGAGGCUACUCUAGUUAAUACCUAGGGAUAGUGGACGUUACUCGCAGAAUAAGCACCGGCUAACUCUGUGCCAGCCGCCGCCGUAA
rnacentral:rRNA from 1 species